UGCAGCAUUGCCACUGCGUGGUCUCAUCUCAGAAGCUAGGCAAGGAUCUGGGCAGUACUGGGAUGGGCGACCCCUCAGGAAAACCAGUUUAAUGCUGUAA
rnacentral:rRNA from 1 species